UGAAACCAUUUAACAAAAAAUGGGGUUUAACGGCUGCAUUAAGCCAGCAAAGUAGCAGCUGUGGGAGCACUGCAGCUUUCCUCCACUAGCUGGGCUGCCUUGCCUGUUACCCCGAUGGAGAGCCUUGAACCGUUGCGAGCUGGGGCAGGCUGGAGCUGCUGCUGCUGCCUGGCGGACUCGCAGCUUGGCAAGUGUAAAACUUCUGAGCAUCACAUGAGUUAAUCACAUGCAAGAAUGCAUCAAGGGUUACACUGCCUUGCGUGCUGGAAAGGAAACUGUGAAAGCGGAGAGAUGUUCCUAAGGAUUCGCAUGGGCUCUGUGUCAGAACACCACACGCACCCAAUGCGCAGGAGCAGCGCGGGGCAUCCUGGUGAGGGUGGGUUCUCUGACCCAGCCCGAAUCCGAUGCAUCAGAGCAGCUCGUUAGAGUGUGAUGACGUUUGUGGAGCUAAAUGCUGACACGAGGCAGGGGCAGAGAUCUCCAGGCAGGUAUGUCGUGAUAGAUGCUGCCCGUCAGGAGGAAGCUCGGGCUGAGGUGCAAGCAGGGCUCCACUUGCCAUCCAGUUGUCUGCUUUUAAUGGAUAUAAAUGGUUACCUUUAGUGCUGAAAAAGCUGAAUAGAUACAAAUAUUACCAAUAUCUUAAGGGUGCACUGGGCCUCAUUAUCCUUGGGUAAUCGAGGUUAUGUGGAGCUGUUCUCCUUUAUCUGUCACUGUCUCUCUUGGCAACGUGCUGAAGCAGAAAAACCUCAAGGAUGAAUUGCCCAGAAAGCUGAAGAAGGGCUGGAACCCAAAACUGCACUGGGGAGGGCAGAGGUGUCCCCACAUCCCCUCCUGUUGGGGGUGCAACCCUGAGUUUGAUCCCCAAAUCCCCCUGCCCAGAUCAAAAAGGUUUUUUUGGGGAGCUGCCAUGGGGGAGUGCAGAGCAGGAGGCUGGGUCAAUCAGCACUGGUUUCAGUUAAUCUCCUGCACGUGGUUCAGUGUGUUACGUAUUUGGUGCAUUUUAUUUCUCUCCGUCUUCUCGAGUCACUGGUGAAAAGCCAGUGUCAGUCACGCAUGGAUCCACGGUUAUUUCUGAACUUCUUUGGAAAUGCUGCAAUUGCACCCUGCUCGCUGAUUAAGUACCACACAGGAACGUUUCUUUCCCUUUACUGGAUAAAUAUCUACCUACGUGCUGCCCAUGGCUGUGUGCAAGAGCUGUUCUGGUUACCUGCAGAAAUAUCCUGGUAAGCAAAACCAGUGCUGCCGGGGCUGCCAGCCGGCAGCGACUUGCAGGGAUCCUGGUUUGGUGGAGCCGUGUGUGCCAGGGAGUCCCGCGAGCCACGCGCCGCUCCUUCCCCUUCUGGGAGGGAGUGAUCUAACAGCACACGUCGGGUGUUUUACAACCGAAUAUAUAAUGCAACAUUUGCAAACACCGAGUACACAAGCAUUCAAGCUUAGAAUUUUUCUGCGAGUAUUCUUACUAAUGAAUCUGAGGCUGUAAAAUAUUCCUGGAAAGUGCUUACAAAAGGCUUUCAGAUAUGUGAAAUGAUGUUUUUAUGUUAUCUCAAAUUUGCUUUCCAUUUCUAAGGAACGCGCAGACUCCCAGCUCCUCCUCUCUCCCCCAUGCUUGUGGCUUACGAGCUGGGUUUGUAACAAGGACUGAAGCAGUGCACUGCGCACAUAAUUACACACCGCUGCACCCACAGAUGUUCUUACAGAAAUCUUCUAAAACUCCAUCUCUGUUUACUUCGCAUUAAAAAGAAAUCGAAAAGCACAGUUUCAAAUAACAAGCCUUACACUCUCUCCUUGGCAGAGUAGGCAGAUAGUCUGCAGAGGCCAAGUCCCAGGGACAGGGCUUGUCCCUGCCCCUCUGCAGAAGCCACGCGCACCUAGAACCAAGGCUGCCUCCUAAGCACCUGCUUCAAGUUUGUUGCAAUCUUCCUCAAAAUCCGCUUCUCUGCAGAAAAGCGACGUCAUUGAGGAGUCCAUCCAAGCCUAGGUCCUCAGCUUGGCUUUUUUACUGUAGGCAGGAAAACCAUUAAUAAGAUGAAAACGACCUCAAGUUGCCACUGCUGGACUAUUUAAUCUGGCCAGGCUCCUUUCAACUCUCACCUACCAUAAAAGAAGACAAAUUGCCUGUCUCGUGUUUAAAGGUUCUGGGAUACAGGACAGCAUUGAUUUUGUGUAUCUGAAAAGGUGACGUUCAUUUGGCUUGCCAGCGAGCGGUGCCGUGCGAUGACAAAGCACCUCGCCGUGCGACCCUCGCUUCUGCCCGAGGCGGGCGUCCCGCAGGUGCAGUGGUUGACAAAGCAAAGGCUUUGUGGUGAAGUCCUUGUUUUCCCAGUCCUUUGAAGAGCCGUCUCCUCUUGGAGAGAAAAACAGCAUCGCAAGCUGGGCAGGAGCUCGUUUGCUUCAGAUGUUUUUCUGGCCUGACAUUUGUUUCCCCCGGUGCCAAAUGCAGUGGGUGAGCGUGGUGGGGCCAAGGAAGAGGGUCGGAGGGGAGGAGGUGGGAUGCGGCGAUGGACGAGGAUGGAGGAGGAGAGCAUUGGCUCCCUGCUUCGUCCUGCUCUUGCUGUCGUCCACCUGGGGCUUGCUCAGACCCCGCUGGGCCCCCAACACCACUGCUGGGGGCUGCAGAGCUGCGCCGUGCCUGGCUUCCCUCGGGGCAGGCGGUGCAGCCGCCUCUCCAGCUCACCCCCCACAAGCCGAGCAGACUGAGCAGUUUGCCUCUCCCCGGGAAGCAUUAUUUCCAGUCCUUGAGUCAAAUGUGCUAAGCACGCAGCAUUUCAGGCGUUUAUCAGGAGAUGAAGGCAGCCUGGUGGCCCCGGUGCCUCGCUCGGGGUCACAGCAGCAUUUCUCCGGUGCAUCCCGUGCCGUGGCUGUGCUUGCCCCAGCCCUGCAGCUGCACAAACCACCCAGGAGUCUUCAUCACCAGGACCCCGGCCCAGGAACGCCAGCUGCAGGCUCCUGCCACCUGGGACGGGCUCUGGGAGCCUGCAGGGGACACGCACAUCCCCACCAGCACAGCUACAGCCUGCCCAGGCUGUGUGAAAAUAAAACAAAUCCCUUGUUCUGAUUUUGUUUGCAGAUUCCCAGGAAUAGCUCACGAAAGGGAAGCUAUGAAGGAAAAAGUAGUUAAUUCUCUGUGGCACAUUUAAACAUCAUUUGUAUUACUAUUCAUCCUUCCCGUGCACUUUGCCCUUUUCUGAUUUAUUCCCGCUCUUUUCAGGUGGAACAACAUUGCUGUUUUGCAGUUCCCGUUUCUCAAGAGGAAUUGUUAACUCCCGAUGUGCGUGGCCAUGUGUUAGCGGUAUCAGUAAGGGGGCCUUGACAGCGGAGAUAAAAGUUUCCUUCCACGUCCCUGGGUGGUCGACCUCUGUGGCUGGGGAAGGGAGGAGCAGGAGGAGAGGUGCUCGAAGGAUCCUGUAGUGGUGCGGGGCCGGGAGCAGGCUGGAGGCUCUGCCGCUUCCUUCGUGGUAAGGAUGGAAACGCAGACACGGAACGGGU